UCCCUGAUGGUCCAGUGGUUAAGACUCUGCACUUCCAAUACAAAGAGCAUGGGUUUGAGCCCUGAUUGGGGAA
rnacentral:tRNA from 1 species